rnacentral:rRNA from 1 species
AUUGAACGCUGGCGGCAGGCCUAACACAUGCAAGUCGAGCGGAUGAAGGGAGCUUGCUCCUGGAUUCAGCGGCGGACGGGUGAGUAAUGCCUAGGAAUCUGCCUGGUAGUGGGGGAUGACGUCCGGAAACGGGCGCUAAUACCGCAUACGUCCUGAGGGUGAAAGUGGGGGAUCUUCGGACCUCACGCUAUCAGAUGAGCCUAGGUCGGAUUAGCUAGUUGGUGGGGUAAAGGCCUACCAAGGCGACGAUCCGUAGCUGGUCUGAGAGGAUGAUCAGUCACACUGGAACUGAGACACGGUCCAGACUCCUACGGGAGGCAGCAGUGGGGAAUAUUGGACAAUGGGCGAAAGCCUGAUCCAGCCAUGCCGCGUGUGUGAAGAAGGUCUUCGGAUUGUAAAGCACUUUAAGUUGGGAGGAAGGGAAGUAAGUUAAUACCUUGCUGUUUUGACGUUACCAACAGAAUAAGCACCGGCUAACUUCGUG